AGAUUCAGGCUGUAUUUAGUGGGGGAGGGAUCUGGCCUCAUAUCCUUCAUCUUUAUGCUGCUCCACUCCAGCUCACAGCCCCUCCAACUGGAUGGAGCUCUUCGAAGGGAGGGGCAUUUCAGAGGAGGGUCUCAGGGAUAGCCCCUUUGUGGGGCUGGGCCACCAGGUUGGGGAGAGUGGAGCUGCUGGAACUCUGGAGGGACUGGCUGAGCCAGCUUUCCCAGUGCACCCCUCUGGGAGGGCAGGCUCUCGGUGUAGGCUGCCCAUCUCCUCGCUCUCCUCUGGCACUGCUCCUAUGCCCCCUUGGUUAGCCUGGGAGCCCAUACUACCCAGACUUGGGGUCAAUAAGCAGAGGACCUGUAAGGAGUCCUUGAUGGGAUGUACAGCACUGCCCAACCCUGCACAAGGUAGGGUAUUGCUGUUUGUUGUGUGGUGAGCUGCCUGCUUAUGGCUGGGUUUGGGCCUCCAUCCAUUUUUAUUUUCUUUGAGUUGGUCUCUGGGCAAAGCUUCUCCCAGCAGGCGGAAUCUGGCCUGGGGGCUCCAGCUUCUCUCACCUGCCUGGCCUCCCAAGAGCUAGAGAGCUCCACAUCUCAACUCAUCUAUAACUCAUUAGCAGAACCAUCAGCUAGCAGAAACUAGGAAUAAUAAAAAUGUGCCGUAUUUUCACAAGCUGGAUGCCAGGCUUGGUGGUCAGGACACAGACUGCUUUCAGCUCCCACAUGCCCCUCCUGCUAGCUGCUUUGUGCAGAGUAGUGGCUACAUGGCUGCAGGUGAGAGCCCUGCCUGUGAACAGGCCACCAGGAUGCUGGGACAUACGAGUUGCCAUUUGUAAGAGAGGAUCAUGGAAUGAAUACGGGCAUUGAGUCAAGCAGUCUGUGUUCCACUGGCGGUGUGACCUGGGGCAGGCCAUUUCACCUCACUGAGCCUUAGUUUCCUCACCUGUAAAAUGUGAAAAAUAUCACCUUCCUUACCAGGCUUUUCUGAGGAUUUAAUGACAUCAUGUUCAGUGCCCAGUAUGGGUGGAUAAUACCCAGGAGUUUCCUCCUCUUCUCCUCCUAAGUUGACUUGAUGCCCCCCGCUGAAGAUCAUGGCUGAACUGGCUCAAUUCGGAUCCAGGACUCCUGGCUUUGUCUCUUCCCUAGUUGCCCACCACACCCAUGGACACCCUUAGGUAGUUUAUCCUUUUGGGACAACUGGAUUUAUUAGAAAAGGGUAUUCUGGGGUGGAAUAAGGCCCUUUUCAGUCCCCAUGGAGCCUUUUUGGAAGAUGAAGUUCUCAAACCCACAAGAGAAUUCAUAAGACGAGCACACCACCCACAGUUAGGUUUCCCUCUCAAGUGCUUUAUCUCCACGUGGGGCAAAUAGCUCUUUGUCUGCAUAUGUUAUUGGAGCUUUUGGAGUCCAGCCUUCAGAAGAGCUCUAAUUUUUGGAUUCAUAUCAGUUUAUUAGAGAAGCCUAGUUCUAAGGAUUAGCAAAUGGGUAGGUGCUCAGCCAGCCCAGAACAAGCAGAGCCAUGACAGAAGUUUCUGGAAUCUCACAGAGUCGGUGUCUUCAUGGACUCAGGGGGCCUAAAUCCAAUAGCCUGGAUUUGUCACUUUCCCUUAUUCCCUUAUCAAACUCUUCCCUUUUGGACAUCAGAGAAGGAAAGUACUUCCUGUAAGGGGGCAAUUUGCAAAGCUUCAUGGAAGUGGCAUUUGAGUGUGGCCUUAAAGGAUGUGUAGGAUUGGGAACCAUAGAUAUUUAGAGGAAGGCAUUCCUGGCAGAAGGAACAGCAGCAAAACACAGAAGUGGAAAUUAGUAGCAGCAUUAAUGGAGAAUAAUUUGGGGAAUAAGAUAUACAAAUGGAAUAAUAAAAAUAGCAUUAAUUAAA
ensembl:lncRNA FLJ42969 uncharacterized LOC441374